rnacentral:lncRNA from 1 species
GGUGGGGUGGAUCAGCUGCUUCCCACCUCUUUUAAAAAUUCAAAAUCCUUUAUUAAGUUGCUUCAGAACUAUAUGGUGUCUGCUUAUGAAAUUAACUGGACUCUAGCAUUGGACCCAUUGAAAAACAGACAGCCGACCUUUUGGAAGGGAGGAUGUCCAAAUAAACAUCUCCUCUUCCCUUGGACCACACACAGGGAGAAGAAACCAGCUUCAAGCAAUUGGCCCUAAUGUGUGUGUUAAUCUUUCCUCCACUCUCCUCCUUUAUUUAUUUGCCAUCAUACAGAGAUGGCACCCUUAUUCUUUACAGGUGGAUCAAUAUUUACAGCCAUUCAGUGGGGACUUUGUUGGCUCUUCCUGUUCUGCAGGCUGCUGUGUAACAAAAGCUGCCUGUUUUUCUGGGACCCUCCACAUCUGCUAGCAGAACUGCAGUGAGUAUUACUUGGGGCUUUGACUGAUGACCAGUUCAAAGUCAGUUUGUUUGGAGUGCUUACAAUAAUCUUCCUGUUUGCUAGGAAGUAAAAUAACUCUGCUACACACAGGUAUCAGACCCAGAAGGCAGAUAUGUGGUUCACAGUAGACAUUUAUUUCUCCAUCUUUAUUUUUUCUCAUGAUCACCUCAACAUUCUGAUGUGUGAUCACAACCAUCUGUACAAUUAUAGUUAUUGAAGCUACUGUAAGUUUAAAAUUGAAGGUUGCAUAGGUGCACAUUAACAAGGGUGGUACUGAUAAAUUUUUAAAAAGAGGUAGCUGAUCACAACAGCAUUUUAAAAUUAAUGAAUGCAAUUGGCUUUAAUUAUAAAAAAAAAUACGUAUGUCUAGCAGGCUUCCUCAAUAAGGCUUUUUUAUGCUGACUGUGGCACAUUUUUCCUCAAAUAAUUGCAGAGCUCAGCUUUAUCAUUAAGCAGAUGGUUUCUAUUAAUUCCCAAAGAAAGUAAAUGAUUGCAAUUAACCAAACACUCAAAACUUGAGGAUUUUAGAGUUCAGCCCUAGUACUUCAGGCAGGAAUCUGUGUGUUACCCUGUUAGUCAAGGAAUGCCAAAAAGGAGACACUCUCUUGACAAUUUCAUAAUGUCUCCUCCCUUAUAGAUGGGCUUUGAAAGUAACUUCGAGCAUUCUCAAAGCUAAGUUACUGCUAAAACUCUGUUGACUUGCUAGUUCUAAGUUUUUGUGGUGUUUUCUGUUGAUUUGUUGUUUUGUAGUAGGAAGAGAAUUGGUAAUUUUCUAGAUACAUCUGAGUAUCAGUUGAAAACAGUUCAGAAACUGUAAAUUCAGGUAGUACUAUAGGGGUUAUGUCUUUUCAACAGAUACCACUGUGUUUCUUUGCUCUAUAGUACGACAUUUGAGAGACUGUUUUGUUAGUAGUUUCAAAGAAAGGAUAAACUGAUAGAGAAUACCCUUAUGCAAGUCACCCCUUCUCUUCCAGUAAAUAAACUAAUGUUUCCAGUGAAUUUCUUCAGACUUGUUGGUUUUAACCAAAUGAUACUGCUGCUUCUUUUCCUCAUUUUAAAAUUAAGUCAUUUACUCAACAGAUUUUUUGUUUCUUUCUUUUAAGAUAAGGUCUCGGCCGGGCGCGGUGGCUCAAGCCUGUAAUCCCAGCACUUUCGGAGGCCGAGACGGGUGGAUCACGAGGUCAGGAGAUCGAGACCAUCCUGGCUAACACGGGUGAAACCCCAUCUCUACUAAGAAAUACAAAAAACUAGCCUGGCGAGCCUGUAGUCCCAGCUACUCGGGAGGCUGAGGCCGGAGAAUGGCGUGAACCCGGGAGGGCGGAGCUUGCAGUGAGCUGAGAUCCGGCCACUGCACUCCAGCCUGGGCUACAGAGCGAGACUCCGUCUCAAAAAAAAAAAAAAAAAAAA